rnacentral:lncRNA from 1 species
GCCCCAUCAUGCUUGGCAGAAGCUCCCUGCAUGCUGUUGCCUCAUUAUAUUGCUCAUAAUUAGAUUGAGUCUCACAGAGGUAUCUCAGCCUGACAGAUCGUAGGUUACCUACAGAACUCACUGCAAAGGCAUCUUGAAAAUAUCAUUCCCUAUAGACAGGAAGUCAUGUCAGCAAAUGGCUACAGUGGGAGCUAUAGGAGCCUACCUGCCCUAGAUGCCUGAACAAGUAAACAGGAACACUGCAUAAAUGAAGUGUAACGGAAGAAUGUCAAUAGGAUGAAGUGAGAAAAGUCACAUCAUUUCCUAAGGUAGAUGAGACAAAAAGGGAGAAGGGUCUUUUUUCCUCAAAAGUGAGUGCCAUGAGGCAUUUCGGGGCAGGGUCAGCAUGGACAGCC